GAUGAACGCUAGCUACAGGCUUAACACAUGCAAGUCGCGGGGCAGCAUGGGGGUUGCUUGCAAUCCUCGAUGGCGACCGGCGCACGGGUGAGUAACGCGUAUCCAACCUGCCCUUCACCUCGGUAUAACCCGCCGAAAGUCGUACUAAUACCGUAUGCCGUCUAUUGACGGCGUCCGAUUUGGUUGCAGGGGUUGGCGGUGGAGGAUGGGGAUGCGUCCGAUUAGCUGGACGGCGGGGUGACGGCCCACCGGGCGGACGAUCGGUAGGGGUUCUGAGAGGAAGGGCCCCGAGAGUGGAACUGGGCCACGGUCCAGACUGCUACGGGAGGCAGCAGUGAGGAAUAUUGGACAAUGGACGUAAGCCUGAACCAGCCAAGUAGCAUGCAGGAUGACGGCCCUAUGGGUUGUAAACUGCUUUUAUGAGGGGAUAAAGUGGCCCACGUGUGGGUGUUUGCAGGUACCGCAUGAAUAAGGACCGGCUAAUUCCGUG
rnacentral:rRNA from 1 species